rnacentral:rRNA from 1 species
GACGAACGCUGGCGGCGUGCUUAACGCAUGCAAGUCGAACGGAAAGGCCCUGCUUUUGUGGGGUGCUCGAGUGGCGAACGGGUGAGUAGCACGUGAGUAACCUGCCCUUGACUUUGGGAUAACUUCAGGAAACUGGGGCUAAUACCGGAUAGGAGCUCCUGCUGCAUGGUGGGGGUUGGAAAGUUUCGGCGGUUGGGGAUGGACUCGCGGCUUAUCAGCUUGUUGGUGGGGUAGUGGCUUACCAAGGCUUUGACGGGUAGCCGGCCUGAGAGGGUGACCGGCCACAUUGGGACUGAGAUACGGCCCAGACUCCUACGGGAGGCAGCAGUGGGGAAUAUUGCACAAUGGGCGGAAGCCUGAUGCAGCAACGCCGCGUGCGGGAUGACGGCCUUCGGGUUGUAAACCGCUUUCGCCUGUGACGAAGCGUGAGUGACGGUAAUGGGUAAAGAAGCACCGGCUAACUACGUG